AGAGUUUGAUCCUGGCUCAGGAUGAACGCUGGCGGUACGCUUUACACAUGCAAGUCAUACGGAAGUUGGUUUCGGCUAACUUCAGUGGCGGACGGGUGAGUAACACGUGAGAAUUCGCCUUUAGGAGGGGGAUAACAGGGGGAAACACCUGCUAAAACCCCAUAUGCCUUCGGGUCAAAAGAGAAAUCUGCCUAAAGAGAAGCUCGCGGCUGAUUAGCCAGUUGGUGGGGUAAAGGCCUACCAAGGCGACGAUCAGUAGCUGGUCUGAGAGGACGAUCAGCCACACUGGAACUGAGACACGGUCCAGACUCCUACGGGAGGCAGCAGUGAGGAAUUUUCUGCAAUGGGCGAAAGCCUGACAGAGCAAUACCGCGUGAGGGAAGAAGGCUUACUGAGUUGUAAACCUCUGUUACCUAAGGAGGAAGAUCUGACGUUACUUAGGAGACGAAGCAUCGGCUAACUCCGUACCAGCAGCCGCGGUAAGACGGAGGAUGCAAGUGUUAUCCGGAAUCACUGGACGUAAAGCGUCUGCAGGUGGUUUCUUAAGUCCACUGUUAAACCUUGAGGCUCAACCUCAAUUCAGCAUUGGAAACUGGGAAACUUGAGUAUAGUAGGGGUAGAGGGAAUUUCCAGUGUAGCGGUGAAAUGCGUAGA
rnacentral:rRNA from 1 species